ensembl:lncRNA
GACUGAAUAAUUUGGUAAUUGUUGAAAAAAAUAACACUAGAAAAUGCUGGGUUGUUGAGAUGACCCUGGUUUGCCGGCAUUGGGUUGCUUUUCAGUAUGGCAGGAUUUAAAACCAGUUCUGGGUUAUAAACACAGCAAGCCAAACGUCACCGCUCACAUGCAGUGGCGCAAUUAAUUUCCCAAAUGCUGGGUAUUUUCUUAACUCAGUGUUGGGUCAAUAAUCCCGCCGCACCUCGUGGGGAUUUGAGGUGACUUAUUUUUCAAUGGACUGAACAGGCAGAGGGACAAGACGUCGUCACCAAAAACAGAGAUUCAAUGGAUAUUUUGGUGGAGGAAACACUCAAAGAUUGGAAUAUGGAGUCUCGCAUCACUAAAUUUGAAGAUAUGAAAUGUGACUUGCCCUGAUAGUGCUGCCUCUACUUCAACUGGGAUUUUCCCACACAACAAUCUCUAGGGAUUACACAGAAUGGUCAGAAAAAGAGAAAAUAUCCAGUGAGUGGAAGAUCUCUGUGUAGAAAUGUCUUGUUGAUGGCAGAGGUCAUAGGAGAAUGGCCAGACUGGUUUGAGCUGAUAGAAAGGCAACAGUAACUCAAAUAACCACUUGUUACAACCAAGGUAUGCAGAAGAGCAUCUCUGAAGGCACAACAUACCGAGCCUUGAAGCAGAUGGGCAACAGCAGCAGAAGACCACAAGAAAAAGAAAGUCGUAUACAAUGUACUUCUGUUCAAUUGCUAGCUUUUAGUUGGAAAUUCCUACUUUUAUUUCUGAUUGCUUAGGAAUUGCUAUUAUUCAAGCUGUGAAAUGGCAAGAGAUAAUGUUGUUGUGCGUCUGUGUCUGUGUGUGUGUGUCUGUGUGUGGUCAUGUUCCAAUGUUAGUAACUAUUGAAGCCUCAGGUUGACCUUGCAUACAAUUAUCCAUACAUUUAUUUAGAAAUUACUCAUUGUUUUUUUAAGGGAUAGGGAAGGGAUGUGGAUGUUUUACAUUUAGUUGUGAUUGUGUG